rnacentral:rRNA from 1 species
UACGUAGGGUGCGAGCGUUGUCCGGAAUUAUUGGGCGUAAAGGGCUCGUAGGCGGUUUGUCGCGUCGGGAGUGAAAUCCACUGGCUUAACUGGUGGCUUGCUUUCGAUACGGGCAGACUGGAGGUAUGCAGGGGAGAACGGAAUUCCUUGUGUAGCGGUGAAAUGCGCAGAUAUCAGGAGGAACACCGGUGGCGAAGGCGGUUCUCUGGGCAUGUCCUGACGCUGAGGAGCGAAAGUGUGGGGAGCGAACAGG